UCAAUACAUAAAUAAACAAAGCGGGAUUCGCAAAAACCACAGGUCUUUCUGAGAACCCCGAAUUAUUUGUAAUAAACCUGUUAAUUUUGAGGAUUACUGAAUUGGAUAUUAACAUUGUUUUAACAAAUAUAGAUACCACGUACUACUGCAGCACAUCACCAGGUAACUCGAAACUCUUUAGAAAAAGGAGGGGACCAUCUCCACCGUCAUUGCGAUUUACUGUGUAGAUACAGAGGUUUGAUGUAGUGAAUAUUUACAUCAAUAAUGUAUGAUUUUAGAUCCGUGCACAUCUUCUGACACGUUAUUCGAGUCUCACGCCCGGACCCAGAACUGUCCACAUGACAGUCAAUACUCCCCAUGUGAUAGAUAUAUAACGCCCGGAUGGUACACAGCAAACGACUCAAUACUGGAUCAGUGUCCCAAUCUCAACAGCUGUGGCGCCAUCUAACCUGUCUGGCUAAACGAUUCACUGCCCAAUGUUGGGGAUCCUAUUGUCACAAAGACCCUAUGUAAAACCGGGUUCUCAGACUGCUGUGUGGCACAGUAUGACAUCCAGAUAAAGAACUGUGGAACGUUUUAUUCUUACUGUCUUCCUGCUUUAGAUGGGUGUCCGGAGAGAGUCUGUUUCGGUACAAACGGAUUAUGUGAAUAUCCUACAACAACAACUGUGCAAACAACACAGACUGAUACAGAACAAGGUCAGGAAAGCAAAGAUUUGGAAACAAAGUACAUAGUUUUGAUUUCGGUAUUGGUGACGAUAUUCAUCUGCGGAGUGUACAUGGUCUUUCUGAAAGCCGCCUUGUAUUUUCUAAAGAUGAAAAAUGUGAAACAGAGGAUAUGUGCAGAUACUACUUGAGAACAUCCAGAUCAGAAUAAGAAGCAGAAGAUAUCUGCCGUUAUAUUCCUGGGAGAUUCAAGUCAAACUGUGAUAAAUAAACCAAAUACUCUACAAAAUACGGACUGCAUUAAAACCAUAACAGAUGCGCAAUUUGGACAUUCCUGAAAACCAUCUAUACAUGCACACGAGUAAAUUACAAAUGACGAAUUACAAAUAAAAAAUAAAAUGCGAUGUAGAAAACUUUUA